rnacentral:rRNA from 1 species
AAAUUGAAGAGUUUGAUCAUGGCUCAGAUUGAACGCUGGCGGCAGGCCUAACACAUGCAAGUCGAACGGUAGCACAGAGGAGCUUGCUCCUUGGGUGACGAGUGGCGGACGGGUGAGUAAUGUCUGGGAAACUGCCCGAUGGAGGGGGAUAACUACUGGAAACGGUAGCUAAUACCGCAUAACGUCGCAAGACCAAAGAGGGGGACCUUCGGGCCUCUUGCCAUCGGAUGUGCCCAGAUGGGAUUAGCUAGUAGGUGGGGUAACGGCUCACCUAGGCGACGAUCCCUAGCUGGUCUGAGAGGAUGACCAGCCACACUGGAACUGAGACACGGUCCAGACUCCUACGGGAGGCAGCAGUGGGGAAUAUUGCACAAUGGGCGCAAGCCUGAUGCAGCCAUGCCGCGUGUAUGAAGAAGGCCUUCGGGUUGUAAAGUACUUUCAGCGAGGAGGAAGGUGUUGUGGUUAAUAAC